AGCGAGGUUACGGAAGCCGAAAGGAUUGGGCCAAGCUUCUCUGGAGCUAAGUGACGACUGCGGCUUUGAGGCCCUGGAGAUAUAAAGAUAAACAGAACAAAACGAAACAAAAAAAAAAACCUGGUUCUUGCCUGGCACACAGUUCAGUGGAGGAGUAGACAUAAGAAGAAACAAAUACGGCACAGUGUAUUUUUUCUGGACUUCAACCUGAAACUGCUAUCAGAUAUCUUGCCACUUCGAAUAAAGUCUACACAUAAGAGAACAGAGCUGAGAGAUGGAAAGAUGCUG